GUGAUGUUGAUUGCAAAUACUACAUUUUUUGAACGAAUGAUGCACCCAAGAUUCUUUCCCAGUAAUGAGUUUGUCUUGCUAGUAUUUUUCUGGUCUAGCACCAUGCUUGCGCAUUAUGUUUUCUUGUAUUCUCACUUGAAUUAGGCUCUUCUCAGAUUUUUCAAACAUUAGUUGCUCUUUCUAGGCUAUUUUUUGCAUCUUUUCCUCAUUGAGAUAGAUAAGUCUAUGACCAUUUAAAUAGUCAGCAUACCUCAGUACCCGAGGGCCUUUUCCCGUUGCUCUUCCCUCUCUUUGGGAGCUUCAUGCUUCACUUUUCUUCCUGUCUAUAGAUUUUUUCUGUUUCCAACUAUGGUAGGGCAUGGUUUUUGUUUUCCUUACUUCUCAGGUUCAUAUGGAAAGCCUAAGAUCUCUAGGUUGUCCAUGAGAAUAGGUUGAUUGAUUGUCUUAUUUCAGGUUUGUCUUUAUAUAUAUAGACAUAUACAAAACUGAUGAUGUAUAUAAAAUUAUACGAAGUAGAACACAUAUAUACAUAAAUAGAAUAACUGGUUCCCAGUGCAUUUUAUUCUUGUGCCCCAAGAAAAAAAUUGCUUUGAAAAUUGGUUGUGAUGUAUUGGCUUCAAGAUACAUUCACUCGAGCCAAAAAAUGGGUUCAAGAAUUGCAUAGACAAUAAUUAGUGUGAUGGGGGAAGAGGAAGAUGGAAUGGCACCCAUGCCUUCGACUUGGUCUUCACAGUCAUUAAUGACGCCUCAAAAUGCAUUUGGAGAUGAGAACGAUUACCAUGCAAUUUCAAGUUCGAGGGAAGUUGUAUGAGCUACUUGUUAAUUGUAUUCCUCUAGAGAUCAUCCUGAAGGCUGCUCUAUGAAUUGUUGAAGAAAUUGGAUGUGGAACUAAAACAUGAGGUUUGUCAUUGGGCUACAUGGGUUCUGCAAGCAAUAUUUAUAGAGGAGUUUUGCUGUAUAUUAUUAUUACAAUGUAUAUCAGACUGUGUUAUUAAAGUAUUAGUACAAUGUAUAUUACAUUAAAGUGUAUAUUUCUGGUGACAUAUUAUUUAUGAAAAGUUUAUAGAACAGAAUUUUAAAUAGUGUUGCCAAAGAAAUACAAGGAUAAUAGAAGUUGGAGA